GGGGCGGAUGGGACGGUCGCUGCCCGUCGGUCGCAACCAACGACUGGUGGGGAGAGGAAAGUCCGAACACCAUAGAGCAGCGAGCCGGCUAACGGCCGGGCGCGUUCGUGGCGAUGGCAACAUCGCGCGGGCGCGACGACAAGUGCAACAGAGAACAGACAGCCUGACUUAUGCGCCCUUCAGGCGCAGGAGUGGCGAUGGUGAAACGGUGCGGUAAAGGCGCACCAGCGAGCGUGGUGACACGUUCGGCUAGGCAAACUCCUCGUGGUGCAAGACCAAAUAUGGGGAUGCUCGAGGGUUGCUCGCCCAAGGUUGCUUCGGCAAACGCAUCUCCGGGUAGGUCGCUUGAGCAGUCGAGCAAUUGGCUGCCUAGAUGAAUGACCGUCACCGUCAUUUGACGGAACAGAAUUCGGCUUACACAUCCGUCCCAACU
rnacentral:RNase_P_RNA from 1 species